UUCUAAACACUCUCUCUUCCUCUUUUUUCUUCAUUCUUGUCAACCACACCACUCUCUUUGUAUCUUCUUCUUCCACAGUAACUCUAACAUUUUCUCAUGGUCUAGCUUUUGGAAUUUUUGUGCAAAAGUCUUAGAAGAAAUGAAAUACUCAUCAUAGACACUACUUAAAGUUUGAAACUUUACCACGUUUUAAAGAUACCCACCAAAGCAUUUGCAGCCAUGCCACCCAUAAAAAAAAAUAUAUAAAGAUGGCUUUGGAAAUUUUUUUUUUUGGAAGGGAAUUUCAACAACCAUUUACAUACAUAGAUGUUCCUUCUAGGAUGCUGAUUUUAUGUUUCCGUUUGAAUCAAAGGGAAUUGAAUUGAAUUAGCAAAUUAGCAACAAUGGCAAAGAGUUCAAUGAAGCUAGCUUUUUGGAUCCUCUUGUUAGUUUGCAUAUCUGUGGAAGUAGCAAGAAUUGAAGCAAGGGGACCCUUUGAAUGUCCAAGGAUGAUACAUUGUGACAGUGUGUGUCAAGGAUUUCCCAGUUGCUGCAUAAAUGGAAAAUGCAUUUGUCAGAAAUGCCCUUCUCAGAAAACUGAAGAUGAUUAUCAACCUCUACAGGACACUACUAAACCCAAUUCUCAGUUAAAUUAGGCCUUGUUUUUGUUCUUGUUCUCUUAAAUGAUGAUCAUCUACUAGCUGGUUAACAGCAUUAGUAUUGUAUGCUCUUUGAUAUCUUUUAAUAAAUAAAUAAAUAAUAUUUACGGCUAAUUUUUUUAGCAACGGAGACCUAGUAUGUGUUGUGUUAUGCACAGUUAUGGAGCUAUAAUCUGUUUUUAUGGAUAUAGAGAUAAAUUAUUUUUUUUUUAAAUUAAAAUUUUUAAAUCGGAGGCUUAGUUUUGUCUGCAAUAUAAAACCUAGGGUCCGAUUUAUGGCGUGGUGAAGGUGAUGAACAAAUCGGAGACUCAGUUUUGUUUGGGAUACAAAACCUAGGUCCGAUUUGCACCUUUAAGCACAAAUCUGAUCUUCACAUGAAAAAAAAUAACAUCAAGUCUCCACAUGUUUGAAAACACCAUUGAAAAGCCAACACCAAAAAUAAAAAGCAAAUAUGUACUUGUGAAAAUAGUUGUGUGUAUCUGUCAAAUACUGAUUUUCCACAUUUCCAAAAUACCAAAAUCUCUCCAACUUCACUACUAAAUAUUACAAUCAAUAUUUGUAUUAUUAAGAUUAAGAGUGAUCAUGCUAUAAUCACAAACUAAAGCACCAAAUCACUAUAAAUAGUUUAGAAACUACAUCAAAUGACUUUUUUGUAUAGUAAAUUGGUUUUAAACUGGUUUAUAAUAACUAAUACCCUCACUUUGAGAAUGUUUACUAUCUGCAACUAAAAAUUUAUGGCUCUUUCCAUCCACUCUUAUAAUACUAGAACCUGGAGCCUUGCUUAUUCCUUUCUUCUUCAUCUGUCAUCUGAUUGAAAAGCCUACAGCCUUCGUCGAUCAAGCCAGAAUGGCAGCAAGCUGUGAAAAUGGCCAAAAAUAUGACCUCAUUAGACCUCGUGCCGGAUUCAAUCAACUCUGCAAAUUGUUUCAA